AAGAGCAAGUGUCUCUUUGGUGUAGGCUUAGUACAUCUGGUAGUGAGCAUCAGAGGACUGCUGGACUUGCAGGACUUCCACCUGUUUGUGGAAUGGAAAAAUAAAGUCAGAGACACACAGGGGGGUUCCUGCCUAGAGCUGUACGCUUCUUGUGGCAGUUCUUCGGGUUGCAGCUGUCUGACCGCCUUAAAAGCCGAGCUGUUGCUUGCUUAACCCCCCAUUGGAAAAACCUCCAAGUACAGUGCACCCCAAGUUUAAACAACCGGGAUGUGAAGGAAUCCAGGGCGCCUCUCAGAGCAGCAGUACAGUGAGAAAGCCCCGUGCCCGGAUCGGCGCCGGCUUGGGCGAGGAGCCGGUGACGCCGCUAGCCCGGAGCGAGCCCUCACGCGACCGGCACCGCGCUGCCCUGCGCGCGGCCUGAGGGGGCGCGAGCUGCGGCCGUUAAACCCCAACGGCUGCCCACGCGAGGGGCGCCCCCGUGGCCCCGUCCGGGCGGCGGGGUUGGGGAUGAACCCGGGGAAAAGGGAGGCUGCCGUGCGCCUUCCCCUGCCUCCCACAGCCCUCCGCCUGCCGCCGCCUCCUCCGGCCGGAGGGGCUGAUGCAUUAAUCAUGAUGCGGCCGCUGUUAAUGCGUUCACGCCGAGCGGGCUGUGACACCGGCUCGCGGCGGAGCGCGGCGGGCUGAGGGCGUGAGAAGAGCUCCGGAGCCGAGCCGCCGCCGCCGCCGCCAGACGCGCGGAGUCGAGGCCGUGGCCGCACCCGCAGCCCUCUCCAUGGCUCCGGAGGAGAUGCUUCAGAAAGUUGCUGUCUGUUUACCACUGGUUCUGCCAAACAACUCAAGAAGCUACCUACCUAUUUUUUCAUUAAUCAAGCAUAACGUUAUCUUGAACUAAUUAUUCCUCUCCAUAUGGCCUUCCUACUGGUGUCAGCUUAUCUUCUGCUGGCUCAUACUCAGGGUGCUCCUGUUGAGAAUGGGCCACUGUUGGAAACACUGAAGUCACAGGUAGGAUUAUUCAGCAAUAAAAGUGAACACUAUUCAGCACAGGUGAGACCUCCUGGCACAAGCCGACGAAUACCUCAGACAAUUAUCAUAGGAGUUCGUAAAGGAGGGACAAGGGCUUUGCUGGAAAUGUUGGAUAUUCAUCCUAAUAUUGUAGUAGCAGCUACAGAAGUCCACUUUUUUGACUGGGAUGAAAAUUAUGUGAAAGGAUUAGACUGGUAUAGGAGUCUGAUGCCAUUUUCUUACGGAAAUCAAAUUACAAUUGAGAAAACACCAGGCUAUUUUACAUCACCACAGGCUCCAGAAAGAAUUCAUGACAUGAAUAGCUCCAUUAAACUGCUGCUCAUUCUAAGAGAUCCCACUGAGAGAGUUAUAUCUGACUAUACCCAAGUAUAUUACAACAGAGUAGAAAGCCACAAGCCUGUUCAGCUUUUUGAAGAUAUUGUUAUUAAGAAUGGAGCACUUAAUACCAAAUACAAGGCUAUUCAGAGAAGUCUGUAUGAUGUUCAUAUGGAAAAGUGGCUUAAACAUUUCAGUUUGAAUCAGAUUCACAUAGUGGAUGGCAAUACAUUAAUCAAGGACCCUCUUCCUGAAUUACAAAAAGUUGAAAGAUUUCUAAAUCUUCCUUCUCGAAUUAUGUCUUCUAAUUUUUAUUUUAACCAAACUAAAGGAUUCUAUUGCAUUCGAAGUGAUGGAAGAGAGAGAUGUUUACACGAAUCCAAAGGGCGCCCCCAUCCUCUUGUUAACAGCACUGUUUUAGAGCAACUUUAUUCUUACUUCAGAGAGCACAAUGCAAAAUUUUACAGAAUGGUUAAUCAUUCUUUUGACUGGCAUUAAUGUAUUUUGGAAUCAAUGUUUCUUAAAAAGGGCCUGAAAUGAACUGGAGAUUCAUAUUAUGAGAAUUUAACAUACUGGUAAUAUAGAAGCAGAGAGAACUGUUUGCUUCAUUGGAAUAAGAUACCCAUUAACUCAUUAAAAUGGUAGCCUUUGUUUUGGGAAAAAAUAGUUUUAACUAUUUGUAUAAUUACUCUGGGUCAUAUAAUAGAAUCAUAUUUUGAUCAUUUUCCCAUCAUGCAAAUAUGUUAACUUCAGUGGACUUACUUCAGAUAUAUAUCUGUUACAAGAUUUGUGAUGUUUUGGAAAAAUGACUGCUUCUAACAGUGUAAAAAUGUACAUAUUUGAAAUGGUAUUAUUCUAACUGUUCCAUAUUUUUGGUUCUUAGUAUUUUUUUAUAUCAGGUAUGAGGCUAGUGGCACUGAGUUCUAGAAUUUUUCAUACAAAUUAAAUUGUAUGUUACAACAGGGGAAUACAUAUUGGCUCUAGUAAAUCAUCCUCUGUUAAUAUGUCAGAGUUCUUAAUCUACUACUAAUAAAAGGAACAUAUUUCACCCUUGAUUUUGAAUAGGUGAACUAGAACCUCCCCAUCAGUAUAUCAUUUGUAUUAAGCCACAAUCUUAAUAUCUUGAGUUGGCAAAAAAAUAAAAAUCUCCAAACAAAGGAAGAAUAUGAACUGUUUGAAGAAGCUUUAAGAAGUGAGAGAUCUGAAUGUAAAGAAAUUAACCCAGGCAACCUCAAUUUACACUAUUACACUGUAUACUAAAAAAAUAAAUUUUUGAAUGCAAAAAAAAAAUAAUAUCAGCAGCUGUACAAAUGUUUGUUAUAUCUUGAAUGAAAAAAACAGCUCUUCAUCAAUGCUACAAUAUUAAUCAUGUUUGUAUUCUGUGACUAGUUACUCUAUUUCUCACCUAACUUUGGUUUACGUUACAUAUAGUGAACCUCGUUAAAAAGCAAAUGAAAUUGAUUUGCCUGCUCUUCAAAUCAUUGUGUAUUCUUUGUCAUUUCUAAUGCAGGUCAUGGGAUGUGCUUAGAGUUAAAAGUAACAUCUUUUUAUAUUUGUAUAUCUCAAACUGUGCUCAUUUACUAAGGUUGACAUACUCAAUUUAUAUAUAUGAAAAUGACAUCCAUUUAUACACCUGCAUUAGGAAUUUUUCUUAUUACCUUUUGCUUGACAAUAUUGUGCUAGUUUGCUCUCCUUCUUCAUGUUAACCAUUUUAUUAUAGAUCAAUACCAAAGAAGAAAAUCAACUUGAAAUGUUAAAUGGAGUGCCAAAUAGAACUAUAUAGAAAUACAAGCAGAUAUUCUUGUUUGAAAUUGUACCUUGCAAUCCAGAAAUGCUGGUGCACCCCAUUGAAGAAGCAUUCUUUAGGUGCAUUACUCUUUAAGCUUCUCAGGACUGGUGAGCUGUAGUGUGGGCCCACUCUAAGCAUCUCAGCAUCAGAUUCCACCUAAUCCUGUUGAAGAUCCAGAAUCUCUGUGUUCUUCUAUUUAAGCCACUGUGCAGCCUACAGGAUAUGUUCCCAAUGUUGGAUUCAGUCUUCCACUUCAUGGGCUAAAAGGCAUCAAGUCUUUCUCUUCUCUGAAGUUUACAGCUAAUCUUUAAGUGAGCUGAAUGCAGAAACACCAGUUGGCAGAAGCUGAAUACA